GGAUUCCCAGAGUAGCGGCGAGCGAAACGGGAAGAGCCCAGCGCUGAAUCCUGCCGCCCGGAGCCGGGCGGCCGGGAAAUGUAGCGUUCGGCAGGAGAGUAAUAUUUAAACGCGCGGUCAUUAGUCACGGCUGCCAGUCCAAGUUCAUCUUGAACGGGGCCGCUUACCCGCAGAGGGUGCCAGGCCCGUGGCGACGGUAGCCGGCCGCGACGGUCUCCCUGCCCAGAGUCGGGUUGCUUGAGAGUGCAGCCCUAAGAGGGUGGUAAACUCCAUCUAAGGCUAAAUACCACCACGGGACCGAUAGCGA
rnacentral:rRNA from 1 species